AGUUGAAGAAACUGAGGAAGACAGUGAUCAAGUGCUUUUUCCAAGAUGGUGUGGAAGUCCAGCAUACAGUGUGAGGAGUUCAGCAUCUAAGCUGGGGAAUAUUGAGGGAACCUCUGCUGAUAAAGGAUGCUAGGCUCAACAGAGAUGUGGCCCUGGCAAAGAAGGAACCAGCACAAUCCAGGCCAGAGAGAAGAAUGGAAGGGGCACCUGAAGGCAGAGGCAUUAUUCUCCACACCUCAGGACCAGAGGUGAUUACACUAACAAGAUACUGUAAGUUUACAAAAAAGAGCAGGAAAAAGAGAAAUAACCUAACUACAGAAAGUUAUUAUGGAAAUAGGGAAGACUUGGCCUAAUCUUCAGAAGAUGAUACUGAAGUAAAAAAAAAUCUUUUCUACCCCAAAGAAUAAUGUCAAAUGUUCACCUGCCCAAAAACAAUUAAUGGAACUCAAAAAAAGAUUAUAAAAAAAUCUCUCAAUGAGAGAGAUUGAGGAAA